rnacentral:rRNA from 1 species
UUAAGCGACUAAGCGUACACGGUGGAUGCCCUGGCAGUCAGAGGCGAUGAAGGACGUGCUAAUCUGCGAAAAGCGUCGGUAAGGUGAUAUGAACCGUUAUAACCGGCGAUGUCCGAAUGGGGAAACCCAGUGCAAUUCGUUGCACUAUCGUUAACUGAAUACAUAGGUUAACGAGGCGAACCGGGGGAACUGAAACAUCUAAGUACCCCGAGGAAAAGAAAUCAACCGAGAUUCCCCCAGUAGCGGCGAGCGAACGGGGAGCAGCCCAGAGUCUGAAUCAGCUUGUGUGUUAGUGGAACGGUCUGGAAAGUCCGACGGUACAGGGUGAUAGUCCCGUACACCAAAAUGCACAGGCUGUGAACUCGAAGAGUAGGGCGGGACACGUGGUAUCCUGUCUGAAUAUGGGGGGACCAUCCUCCAAGGCUAAAUACUCCUGACUGACCGAUAGUGAACCAGUACCGUGAGGGAAAGGCGAAAAGAACCCCGGCGAGGGGAGUGAAAAAGAACCUGAAACCGUGUACGUACAAGCAGUGGGAGCACCUUCGGGUGUGACUGCGUACCUUUUGUAUAAUGGGUCAGCGACUUAUAUUCUGUAGCAAGGUUAACCGUAUAGGGGAGCCGCAGGGAAACCGAGUCUUAACUGGGCGUUAAGUUGCAGGGUAUAGACCCGAAACCCGGUGAUCUAGCCAUGGGCAGGUUGAAGGUUGGGUAACACUAACUGGAGGACCGAACCGACUAAUGUUGAAAAAUUAGCGGAUGACUUGUGGCUGGGGGUGAAAGGCCAAUCAAACCGGGAGAUAGCUGGUUCUCCCCGAAAGCUAUUUAGGUAGCGCCUCGUGAAUUCAUCUUCGGGGGUAGAGCACUGUUUCGGCUAGGGGUCAUCCCGACUUACCAACCCGAUGCAAACUACGAAUACCGAAGAAUGUUAUCACGGGAGACACACGGCGGGUGCUAACGUCCGUCGUGAAGAGGGAAACAACCCAGACCGCCAGCUAAGGUCCCAAAGUCAUGGUUAAGUGGGAAACGAUGUGGGAAGGCACAGACAGCCAGGAUGUUGGCUUAGAAGCAGCCAUCAUUUAAAGAAAGCGUAAUAGCUCACUGGUCGAGUCGGCCUGCGCGGAAGAUGUAACGGGGCUAAACCAUGCACCGAAGCUGCGGCAGCGACACUAUGUGUUGUUGGGUAGGGGAGCGUUCUGUAAGCCUGCGAAGGUGUGCUGUGAGGCAUGCUGGAGGUAUCAGAAGUGCGAAUGCUGACAUAAGUAACGAUAAAGCGGGUGAAAAGCCCGCUCGCCGGAAGACCAAGGGUUCCUGUCCAACGUUAAUCGGGGCAGGGUGAGUCGACCCCUAAGGCGAGGCCGAAAGGCGUAGUCGAUGGGAAACAGGUUAAUAUUCCUGUACUUGGUGUUACUGCGAAGGGGGGACGGAGAAGGCUAUGUUAGCCGGGCGACGGUUGUCCCGGUUUAAGCAUGUAGGCUGGUUGUCCAGGCAAAUCCGGAUAAUCAAGGCUGAGGUGUGAUGACGAGGCACUACGGUGCUGAAGUAACAAAUGCCCUGCUUCCAGGAAAAGCCUCUAAGCAUCAGGUAACAUCAAAUCGUACCCCAAACCGACACAGGUGGUCAGGUAGAGAAUACCAAGGCGCUUGAGAUAACUCGGGUGAAGGAACUAGGCAAAAUGGUGCCGUAACUUCGGGAGAAGGCACGCUGGUGUGUAGGUGAAGCCCCUGCGGGUGGAGCUGAGACCAGUCGAAGAUACCAGCUGGCUGCAACUGUUUAUUAAAAACACAGCACUGUGCAAACACGAAAGUGGACGUAUACGGUGUGACGCCUGCCCGGUGCCGGAAGGUUAAUUGAUGGGGUUAUCCGUAAGGAGAAGCUCUUGAUCGAAGCCCCGGUAAACGGCGGCCGUAACUAUAACGGUCCUAAGGUAGCGAAAUUCCUUGUCGGGUAAGUUCCGACCUGCACGAAUGGCGUAAUGAUGGCCAGGCUGUCUCCACCCGAGACUCAGUGAAAUUGAACUCGCUGUGAAGAUGCAGUGUACCCGCGGCAAGACGGAAAGACCCCCGUGAACCUUUACUAUAGCUUGACACUGAACAUUGAGCCUUGAUGUGUAGGAUAGGUGGGAGGCUUUGAAGCGUGGACGCCAGUCUGCGUGGAGCCAACCUUGAAAUACCACCCUUUAAUGUUUGAUGUUCUAACGUUGGCCCCUUACCGGGGUUGCGGACAGUGUCUGGUGGGUAGUUUGACUGGGGCGGUCUCCUCCCAAAGCGUAACGGAGGAGCACGAAGGUUAGCUAAUCCUGGUCGGACAUCAGGAGGUUAGUGCAAUGGCAUAAGCUAGCUUGACUGCGAGCGUGACGGCGCGAGCAGGUGCGAAAGCAGGUCAUAGUGAUCCGGUGGUUCUGAAUGGAAGGGCCAUCGCUCAACGGAUAAAAGGUACUCCGGGGAUAACAGGCUGAUACCGCCCAAGAGUUCAUAUCGACGGCGGUGUUUGGCACCUCGAUGUCGGCUCAUCACAUCCUGGGGCUGAAGUAGGUCCCAAGGGUAUGGCUGUUCGCCAUUUAAAGUGGUACGCGAGCUGGGUUUAGAACGUCGUGAGACAGUUCGGUCCCUAUCUGCCGUGGGCGCUGGAGAAUUGAGGGGGGCUGCUCCUAGUACGAGAGGACCGGAGUGGACGCAUCACUGGUGUUCGGGUUGUCAUGCCAAUGGCACUGCCCGGUAGCUAAAUGCGGAAGAGAUAAGUGCUGAAAGCAUCUAAGCACGAAACUUGCCCCGAGAUGAGUUCUCCCUGAGACUUUAAGUCUCCUGAAGGAACGUUGAAGACGACGACGUUGAUAGGCCGGGUGUGUAAGCGCAGCGAUGCGUUGAGCUAACCGGUACUAAUGAACCGUGAGGCUUAACCUU